rnacentral:rRNA from 1 species
GAUGAACGCUGGCGGCGUGCCUAAUACAUGCAAGUCGAGCGAACAGACGAGGAGCUUGCUCCUCUGACGUUAGCGGCGGACGGGUGAGUAACACGUGGAUAACCUACCUAUAAGACUGGGAUAACUUCGGGAAACCGGAGCUAAUACCGGAUAAUAUAUUGAACCGCAUGGUUCAAUAGUGAAAGACGGUUUUGCUGUCACUUAUAGAUGGAUCCGCGCCGCAUUAGCUAGUUGGUAAGGUAACGGCUUACCAAGGCAACGAUGCGUAGCCGACCUGAGAGGGUGAUCGGCCACACUGGAACUGUGACACGAUCCAGACUCCUACGGGAGGCAGCAGUAGGGAAUCUUCCGCAAUGGGCGAAAGCUUGACGGAGCAACGCCGCGUGAGUGAUGAAGGUCUUCGGAUCGUAAAACUCUGUUAUUAGGGAAGAACAAAUGUGUAAGUAACUAUGCACGUCUUGACGGUACCUAAUCAGAAAGCCACGGCUAACUACGUG